rnacentral:snRNA from 1 species
AUCGCUUCUUGUCCUAACGGCUAAGAUCAAAUCAAAGUGUAGUAUCUGUUCUUAUUAGUUAACACCUAUAAUUUACCAAUAAUUACACAAUAGUCAUUAUUUGAAAUUCGCAAGACAAUUCCCUUCAUGAAAAUGGGACAGAAAAAAGCAUUCGUGUGAAGGGGUCAGUCU